rnacentral:rRNA from 1 species
UUUAAAUUGAGAGUUUGAUCCUGGCUCAGGAUGAACGCUGGCGGCGUGCUUAACACAUGCAAGUCGAGCGAUGAAA